AACUCAAGGGGCCUCCAUAGCCUAGACAGCUCAUAGCAAGAGUCUCGGGUGAUUGCUGACAUCAUAAAUAAGAGUGCCAAUUGUUAAAUCAACAACAGGAGUCACUGGGUUCAUGCUCCCCACACAGGAUCUCUGUCCUUAAUAUGUUUAACUAUGAAACUCAAAAACAACACUACUAGUCAAACAAUACCCUAUACCUGGUUCAGUUGUGUGAGUGUAACCUGUUGAAAUCCCUGCUUAGUAUAUACUAAGUUGAUCUUCAAUAUAUGAAGGUGUGCAACACAGCAAAAUCAGAUAAUGGAUUCGAUUACUCUACACACCUGGACGAAUCCAGAUGAGCACUAACCCAAAUGCCCCUGAAUUACAGGAAAGGAAAGCAGGAGGAUCUCACACUGUCCAUCUCAGUUCCAUUAAAAACAUCAAUCAAAUGUCAACCAAGAUGCCACGUGUCAUCUCACACUAGCUGCAGGCUGGACAGCACAAACCGCCCUGCCUACUGGACCAGCUUCCUGCACCUACUGUAACACUUCAGACAACAGAGUUCUUUCUCUGACAUCUUUACGUUUCUGAAGGCCAGAAGGCUGAAGGCAGGUGUCUGCAGGGCUGCUGUCCUCCAGAGGCUGCAAGGGAGACUGUCCCUUUACUCUGCAGUCGCUGGCUGCCGCCAUUCCUCUAGGAGGCCACCUCACUCCUGUCUCAGCAUCUGUGGCCACACACUGCUGCCUCCUCUUGUGUCUUCCUUUCAUUCUGUAUGUCUCUCUUAAAAGAAUGCUGAAUACAAAACAA